rnacentral:rRNA from 1 species
GGCGAACGGGUGAGUGACACGUGGGUGAUCUGCCCUGCACUUCGGGAUAAGCUUGGGAAACUGGGUCUAAUACCGGAUAGGAGCCAUCUUUAGUGUGGUGGUUGGAAAGUUUUUUCGGUGUAGGAUGAGCUCGCGGCCUAUCAGCUUGUUGGUGGGGUAAUGGCCUACCAAGGCGGCGACGGGUAGCCGGCCUGAGAGGGUGUACGGCCACAUUGGGACUGAGAUACGGCCCAG